GAUGAACGCUGGCGGCGUGCCUAAUACAUGCAAGUAGAACGCUGAAGCUUGGUGCUUGCACCGAGCGGAUGAGUUGCGAACGGGUGAGUAACGCGUAGGUAACCUGCCUCUUAGCGGGGGAUAACUAUUGGAAACGAUAGCUAAUACCGCAUAAAAGUCGACAUCGCAUGAUGUUGACUUGAAAGGUGCAAUUGCAUCACUAAGAGAUGGACCUGCGUUGUAUUAGCUAGUUGGUGAGGUAACGGCUCACCAAGGCAACGAUACAUAGCCGACCUGAGAGGGUGAUCGGCCACACUGGGACUGAGACACGGCCCAGACUCCUACGGGAGGCAGCAGUAGGGAAUCUUCGGCAAUGGGGGCAACCCUGACCGAGCAACGCCGCGUGAGUGAAGAAGGUUUUCGGAUCGUAAAGCUCUGUUGUAAGAGAAGAACGAGUGUGAGAGUGGAAAGUUCACACUGUGACGGUAACUUACCAGAAAGGGACGGCUAACUACGUGCCAGCAGCCGCGGUAAUACGUAGGUCCCGAGCGUUAUCCGGAUUUAUUGGGCGUAAAGCGAGCGCAGGCGGUUAGAUAAGUCUGAAGUUAAAGGCUGUGGCUUAACCAUAGUACGCUUUGGAAACUGUUUAACUUGAGUGCAGAAGGGGAGAGUGGAAUUCCAUGUGUAGCGGUGAAAUGCGUAGAUAUAUGGAGGAACACCGGUGGCGAAAGCGGCUCUCUGGUCUGUAACUGACGCUGAGGCUCGAAAGCGUGGGGAGCAAACAGG
rnacentral:rRNA from 1 species